GGAGCAAGCCAGUAAGCAGCACUCCUCCAUGGCUUCUGCAUCAGCUCCUGCCUCCAGGUUCCUGCCCUUGCCAUCCCUCACUGAUGGACUGUGAACCGGACAUCAAGGAGUAUUCAACUUUGAGGAUGUUGCAGCCCAGGAUCGACGGUCUGAUCUUCUGCACUCUGAGGCUCUUGCCACGCCAUGAUGCGCAGGUCCCUGAGAUAAUGUGAUUGCCUCUGACUGACGACAGCUUCUGAGUGAGCACUUUGGUCUGGCCAUUGGCAAGGACCUUGGCCACGCCGCAAGCCAGGAUCCUGACGGCUUUGACUCGGGUAACUUCACACACUUCCACCAUCACCCGUCCGGCCACCUUCUCCCCGCUGCCGUACACCUUCUCGGGGUCGUUGAAGACCACCUCAAAAGACUUGAUCUUCUUGAACAUCACCAUGAUUGAGCCGAGUGGGUUCAAAAAAAACGGAAGCCGGAGAGGAAAAAAAAAUCUAAGAACCCUUCACAGCAAACGAAGAGCUCACUCUCCUCCCUAAGUCAAUCAGGGCUUGAAAACCCAAAUAAAAAUGUAAAGAAAGCCUCAAAACAAACCCUAACAACUUCUCCAAAAAGGUGCCUGAAAGUUUCAACCUGCUGGCUGUGCCAAAAGCUUGCAGGAGAAAAAUAACAGCUGUCUUCCGCUACUGGAGGAACUCUGGAAAUCCGAAGAGCAGAAGAGGAGAGUGUCAAGCUGCUGCCGGAAACGGCUUAUAUAGCCGCCUGGCUUGACGCUCCACGCGAGUGCUGGCCUGGAGGCUCGUGCAGCCCUCGUGCACAGUUCUCCCAUUGGCUACUUGGCCCUUGUUUACCAGGCCUCCAACCAAUCAGCGAGGCCGCAGGGGCGCGUGGACACGGUGUGCUCCAAGCGGGGAAAAUGGUUGUUGUCCGAGUGCGCAGCCUUGCCAGGAGGAGGGGCGGGGCCCGGGGCAGCAGGGUGGCUCCCCCGGGAGGCUGGGACCCCGCGACCCUGAACCUCAUCCAGGGGACUCCUCUUGGGAGCUGGGUUGUUUGGGUGUGUGCUUUGUUGGUUUUUUUUUUUUUCUCCUUCUUUUUUUAGGUGAAAGAAAAAUGUGCUUAGGAGAGGAUUUCAUGCCUCGCCUUAGCCAGCGCAAUUCGUCUCGAGGUGACCAUUUAUUCCUGGCUCACAAGUUCGCAAGUCUGUGAAAAACAAUCCCAUCGCCCCGAGGAUACUUCAGGAUGGAGCGGAGGGCGAGAGUGCAGUUGUGUUCGUGAGAGCCCUCCCGAUGUGCUCCUAUUGUGCUUCUAUUGAAGAAUAAAAGGCUUCUGCCUCUCCAGACGAGAACUUGUCAGAUAUUUUAAGUCUGGUUUUCAGUCUUUUUUUUUUUUUUUUUUUUUGUAAAUGCUCUGGUAGAGACCAGAAGAAGGUGUCAGACGUCUGUCUUAGAAGUGGAGUUAAGAGUUGUGAGCUGGUGUUUUGGUUCUGGGACUCUGACACUAUCAACCAGCAAGCCAACUCUUCAGCUACGUAAGACUUCGGGAGAACCAGAGAUAUGGUGCCAGGCCUGCCAACUUGAGUUCAAUAGCAGAACCCACACAGUAGCAAAAGAACCAACUCUGACCUUCCCCUUCCCCCUCCCCAUCCUCUCCCCUCCCCUGCCCCUCCCCAGUAGUCACUCCAGAGACACCC
ensembl:antisense Gm15441 uncharacterized LOC110319944